GUUCUCGCUUUGGCAGCACACAUACUAAAAUUGGAACAAAACAGAGAUUAGCAUGGCCCCUGCGCAAGGAUGACAUGCAAAUUCAUGAAGUGUUCCAUAUUUUU
rnacentral:snRNA from 1 species